GGCUUAAUGGUCUAGUCGUAUGAUUGCCGCUUCGGGUUCUUCAAGCCUGGACUCCUAGAGUCUAUAAUGUGGCAGGUCCCGGGUUCAAAUCCCGGUUAAGCCC